rfam:Gorilla gorilla gorilla genomic chromosome, chr1, whole genome shotgun sequence
GCCGGGCGUGGUGGUGGGCGCCUGUAAUCCCAGCUACUUUGGAGGCUGAGGCAAGAGACUUGCUUGAACCCAGGAAGCGGAGGUUGCAGUGAGCCGAGAUCAUGCCACUGCACUCCAGCCUGGGCAACAGAGCGAGAUUCUGUCUCAA